CCCCCGGCGGUGCUCCGCUCCCCUCACGUGACGUCUCUGUUCGGUCCCGCCGGGCCCGGCCGGUGUUGUCGGGAUCUCCCCUGGGAGCCGCACGCGGCGGCAGAGACAACUUCAGGCUCUCCAGGAGAUCGUCCCCGGGGUAAGCGGGGCCCGGCGGGGCGCCCGUGGGGUGAGCUGUUAACUGCUUCUAACAAGCUGCCGUUUGUUCCCGAGGCUGAUAAGGAAGGGGGGAGGGAAGUCUGGCAGUGUAAUUGAACUACACCAGCUGGGGACAAUGAGAAGCUUCCUCUAAACAAGGAGUCAAAGUGAUUUAUAUAAGACUGGAAGGGGAGGAAAAAUACCUAUUAAAGGCGCAUGCUCCAAGCCGGGUUCAUCUUGCGGACAUCGAGGAAGACUAAAAAUCUUCAUCACAGAGACCCCGGCCCACAAAGAAACCCCCAGACCACGGACGCCGGUAACACAGCCCAGGAACAUGCAUGGGGAAAACUUUGCAACUGAGCAUGUGCAAAAAGCACAUGCCCCAGACUAUGUAUGGAUAAGAACCUAUGUACUGAGCAUGUCUGGACGGGAACCCGGAGGGUUCAAAAGGGGAAGUUUGAGAGCUUGGGGGGGCGGCGGCGAGCUGUGAGAGAACUUUCUUUUGUUCUAAACAGCCCCCGCCCUCCCUGCGUGUGCCGAUUGUCUAUCUACCGCUUAUUAAUAAAUUUGCUUGCUACUGUAAAUUGGCUUCUUCAAUUCCUUUAAGGCAUUGCUGGAGAACAGGGAUGAGAGGAAAGGCGGUGCCAGAGCUGUGUCCCACCGGGCUGUGUUUCCCUCAGAGGACAGAGAGCCUGUGGGCUGAGGAGGAGAUGCAGUGGGCAUUAAGGUGAUUAGCCUGGUUUGAAUGGAAGCUCCCAAUCCACAAUUUAAAGGUCCUUGGUGUAAAUCCAAUGAAAGCUUACCUGGUGCCUGCCUCCCAGAAUGGAAGGAAAAUCUGAGUGCCUAUGGUACGCCUAUCAUAUGUGGAGAUAGUUAAAUGAGGAGUGCACCUGCAGCAAAGCUACAGUAUAAAGGUCCAAAGUCUCUGCAAAUAAACUGGGUCAUAAAAUGGAAGUUUUCUUCUGCACUGCAAGGAAUGAUUUCCUAUGGCCUAAAUAACAGUAAAAAGAAUUUAGUUGUUAAAAAUGUUUAUUCGUGUUUUUGCAAAGGUAAUAAGAGCCAAAACAAUAACCAGUAUUUCUGCAAGCUGACAGAAUGUGCUUCCAACACAGCAAGAAACAGUCAGUUUACCAGCCCCAUGAUCUCUUUCGUCUGCCUGGAGAGAUUGUUAUAGUCUGCCCAUAAACGAGAGAAAUAACUUUACUUCCUACAUAUAGGACAGGAGCAUAUUUCAUUUCUGGGAGUUAAAUUUUUUUGAGAAUUUUGGAAGGCUGACUUUGACUUUAUUUGGCAUUUUUCCAUUCUCAAGUUGACCUUUGAAAACCAGAAAUGUUGAAUGAAAAGGAAUCUGGACUCAGAGCAAGCAGCAUGGAAGAGAUGUAAGGAGAUUUAUCACAGCUACUUUUGUGACAAGAAAACCUACAAGGCUCGUUUUCCUUCACAAUUCCAUCCCUUAUUGCAUGUCCACUUGGUGACCCUAAGAGUGAAAAUGUUAAUGUAUUUCCUGUAUCCUGUGUUACCAAUUUCUUAUACAGAAAAAAAAAAAUUAAAAAAAAAAUCAAAAUUUACCAACUUGGGUGGAUAACUGACUUUAAGAAAGAGUGUGU